rnacentral:rRNA from 1 species
UACGUAGGGAGCAAGCGUUGUCCGGAUUUAUUGGGCGUAAAGCGCUCGCAGGCGGUUCGGUCAGUCGGGUGUGAAAAACUCUGGGCUCAACCCGGAGACGCCACCCCGAUACUGCUGUGACUCGAGUCUGGUAGGGGAGCACGGAAUUCCUGGUGUAGCGGUGAAAUGCGUAGAGAUCAUGAGGAAGACCAGUGGCGAAGGCGGGUCUCUGGACAGUUCCUGACACUGAGACACGAAGGCCAGGGGAGCAAACGGGG